GAUGAACGCUAGCGGCAGGCCUAACACAUGCAAGUCGAAGGGUAGGGUUAGCUUGCUAACUUGAGACCGGCGCACGGGUGCGUAACGCGUAUGCAAUCUACCUUGUACAGAGGGAUAGCCCAGAGAAAUUUGGAUUAAUACCUCAUAGUAUCUUUACCUGGCAUCGGGUAAUUAUUAAAGUUCCAACGGUACAAGAUGAGCAUGCGUCCCAUUAGUUAGUUGGUAAGGUAACGGCUUACCAAGACAAUGAUGGGUAGGGGUCCUGAGAGGGAGAUCCCCCACACUGGUACUGAGACACGGACCAGACUCCUACGGGAGGCAGCAGUGAGGAAUAUUGGUCAAUGGACGCAAGUCUGAACCAGCCAUGCCGCGUGCAGGAAGACGGUCCUAGUGGAUUAGUAAACUGUCUUUUAANACG
rnacentral:rRNA from 1 species